UUUUGUAAUAAAAAGAAGAAAAAAGUGCGAUCGAGAAUGCUUCUGCUUCAUGCAGCUGAUGUUCAGCAAUUUAAAGAUAGUGUCAAACCUAAUAUUGAAAGUCAUGAAGAGUUUACAGAUUUUUCUAAUAAAUUGGAUAAUUUUUCUGGCUCAAAAAUCUAUUAUCAUACUGAAUGCCGAGUUGAUUUUAAUAAUAAGUUAUCUUCACUAAAAGCAACGCCUAGCAAAACGGAGUGGCAUUAUCACCGGGAGUAUCAUCAAACAGUUUUUAAUGAAAUUAGUACAAUCAUUAAAGAAGACGUGAUUAAAAAAGGGCGGUGUUUUUUAUUAGUGUAUUUACAUGAAUCAUAUAUCGAUUUAUUAGAAAAAAUUUUCAAGAAAAUUCUAUUCAAAUGACAGCUACUUUCACAGCACACCAUCUUGAAGAAAAAAUUUUAAAAGUAUUCUCUAAGGAUAUAAAAUUCUUUACUGUUCGUAAUAAAAAAAACUAGCUCCAAAAUAUCUAGAAGCCAUCGAUGAUUCAGUACUGGAUAAUUUACAACAAGAAAACAUUUUACAAAAAUCUGCAUUGAUUCUGAGAAAAAUAAUACUCCAAAUAGAAAAAAAAAAAUUAUCAACAAAAAAUAUAACAUCACAGCAUUUAAUAUCCGGAGAAGUUUCAAUACCAGAAGAAUUAUCAAACUUUUAUUCUACCCUUCUUGGUGGAUGUAACCAAAAACGAAAGACUGGCCAAAAAUGUUCUCGUCUAGUUCGUUCUUAUUGUCAAGAUGUUAUUUUCGGAGUUCAUGAUGGUCGAGUUAAAACGUCGAAGCAUAUCAUGUUAGGUUUGACUCUAAAAAGCUUAACAAGCAGCAGAAAAAUAAUUGACAUUAUAAACAGAUAUGGACACUGUAUUAGUUAUCAAGGCGUUGAAGAAUUAGAAACUGAAACUACAUUUACAUCAAUGAAAAAGUCUAGCUUAUGUCCAGAAACAAUAAAAAAAAAACCAGAGCUUUUUACUGGUGUGGCAUACGAUAAUUUUGAUCGUUUUGUUGAAACUUUUAGUGGUAAGGAUACUUUACACGACACAGUCGGAAUAAUAUACCAAAAUAUCGAUGCAGAUACAGCUGACGAGCCUGAAAUGUCCGAAGUUUCAAGUGAAAAUACUUCGCCGAAUAAAAAAGAAGAAGAAGAACAUUUGAUGAAAUAAAUAUAGAUGAAAUGCCAUACCCUAACAAACCCAAAAUGACAAAAAACAAUGAAGAAGGCGAUAUUGAAGACGAUCAAUCCACAGAAUGGAAUAAUAGUGACGAGGAGUAUGGAUGUAUUGACGACGACGAUGAAAA
rnacentral:lncRNA from 1 species